rfam:Tenacibaculum dicentrarchi strain AY7486TD, complete genome.
AUUUUCGAGGAAAAAUUUGACUGAUUGCAACCUCAUUGAACACAAGUUCAUACUAAAAAGCUAAAGCAGUAAAU